rnacentral:lncRNA from 1 species
UAACAUUCGAAGAAAAAAUAUGAAGUGAUGAACAACUCUUGAAAAAUUCUUUUUUUUUAUUACAAUUAUUAUUGUUUUUUAAUUAUUGGCUGUAGAUGGGUAUUUAAUUAAAGUCCAAUCGCGUCUUUGCCAAUUUAUAAUCUUAUUUGUAUUUCUACAUUUUUUUUGGAAAGAAUGAUAUUCAAAUGAAAGAACCAAUUUUCUUUCAGGAAAAAUUCUUUUAGUUAAAAUGACAUGUACUAGAUGAAUUAGGACGUUAAGAAUGAACUAAUUGCAAUAGCAUAGUUUGCUAGCGUGAAAAAAAAACACAGAUGGAAAUUAGCGAGCCUAGUAAAGAAACAUUUAUGACGAGGUGGUUCUAAAAAGCCUUUCGUGUAUAUAUAUAUAUAUAUUCGGCUCUAAACAAACGCAAGCUUUAAGUAUCAUUGUAACUGUAAAUUAUUGGCAAUACUGAAAGUAUAAGACGAUCCUCAAGUUGUAAGCAAACCUAAUUCAUUUGCUGUACCAAGACUAGGAUGGAUGAGUUACAAGUCACUUUAAGUGUUUAUGGGUCCAAAGAGAAUAUAAAAUGUGUUUUCCCAAUUUUACAAGGGUUAGCCAAAUAAAGAAUGCAAAUGAACAAAUCGCAUGAAUUGCGGAAGCUAGUGACAUUGUAUGACGAUCUGCCCGAAAUCCCAAGUCCGUAUCUCAUCCGCGAAAUUGAGACAUAUCACGAUGCAUACGGAGAAAAUCUAUACAACGCAAGUAUAGCCGCACCCAAAGACGGAUAUAGAAUAGACUGGAGAAGGCUACAUCCCUCGGAUAUGGAGACUGAAUGAAAGAAUUGAGAGAGUAUUUAAAGCUCAUUAAGUGCAAUGUUUACGAUUGUUAUUACGGUUCUACAUGGUCAAUAGUAUGGGAAAUUUUAAAAUAAACAUUUUUCCUGGUUGUGAAAAUGAUGGAGAGAAGCAACGAAAAUAUCUUUAACUGAUGCUUUAUAUAUGUAGAAUAAAAAUUGAGUUGGAAAUUACAGCAGGGAUAGUAAACAAGUCAAGGAUAUGUUACAGUUGUCAUUAGAAUAACAAAAGGUUUAAUAACUAUCUUUUAAAGAGGAUUUGACAUUGUACUAAGGGCUGAGACAACUCGCAUUAAAUAAGCAAAGGCUG